rnacentral:rRNA from 1 species
UACGUAGGGUGCGAGCGUUGUCCGGAAUCACUGGGCGUAAAGGGCGCGUAGGCGGCCUGAUAAGUAGGGGGUGAAAUCCUGCGGCUUAACCGCAGGGCUGCCUUCUAAACUGUCAGGCUCGAGCACAGUAGAGGCGAGUGGAAUUCCCGGUGUAGCGGUGAAAUGCGCAGAUAUCGGGAGGAACACCAAUGGCGAAGGCAGCUCGCUGGGACGGUACUGACGCUGAGGCGCGAAAGCGUGGGGAGCAAACAGG